AGGAUGAUGAUAUUUUCGGAAAUUCGUCGGCCUCUACUCCUCCUCAACGCGGACUCACUCAUAGACAAACGGACGCGAGCUUCGAGAACGUAGCAACCCUGAGUUCUCACACCCUCUUCUUCUUCUUCUUGUUCGGGUCUUCUGAGCAAGUUCCUCUCCGAUCUGAACGGCGCGUUUCUUCCAUCGUGGUGCUUACUUCGAGUUCGGCCCUCGUUGGCAACGUUUCGCUCACGUCCGAGGUGUGCUCCUGCUCCUCCAAGGGGAAGAAGAUCAAGUCUAGGACGAAAGGGAGGAUCCGGAGGGAGUGAAGAGGGGGUUGAAGCAGAGGGGGCUAAUUUCAUUACAUGAAGUCCAAGGCCUGAGUGUGCGGUAACAUGGGGGAAGGGGUCAAAAUUCCACGUGCCAGGGUCUAGGGAUAGGUGAAUUUAAGUGAGAAAGUCAGGUUGGCCAUUGGAACAAGUUGAAAGUGUGCAAAAAGAGCUUAUAUCAACUGAAAACAUUGGCCAACUGAACCCGAGGAGUGUCGCAAAUCUCUGCGGAGGAAACACCUGCCCCUUGAUCACUUCUUCCCCCCCCCCGCCCCCCCUCGCAAUGACGAUGGGUCGACCGACAUGAAGACGAAGCCAGCCACCAAAGGUUUGGUCUAGUUUGAGCCAGUCGACUUGAGACCGACAGUUGGAGGAGAUAGACGGAGAAUAUUAUCAUCAUUACCAUCAUCAACAUCAUCAUCAUCACGGGCAUUGGCAUCCAUGGCCAAGCUAAAAGCGUGCCACAGAUUAACCCUCCGCUCUCCCAAAGCCAGACGAGAGGUGUAGACAAGGAUAUUAGAAUGGCAGCUGCUUGCGUUGCCCUCAACUGCUCUAAGAAUCAUGUGGCCAAAGAGAUUGUUGCACGCGUGUUGUGUUUUGAAGGUCUCGUUUACAUGUUUGGUGGUCUUCGUUGUACUAUGUACGAGAAAUGCGUGAGAAUUGAAUUUGCUAAUGGUUGCCACCAAGAGCACUCUUCAAAAGUAAGGUCAGCAUGGUUCGAAACCGAGAUAAUCUCCAUUUCAGCCAUCCGGAUUGUUCGAUGAAGGCACGUGAUUGCGCCAAGAUUGGCUGGAAAAUACAUUUUCACCCUGGGAUAUUCCACAUUCCAGGUGGAUUACGUGGAAUUCGUCUCAAAGCCAUGUUGAAGCCUCUUUGAAAUCAGAGUCGGAAUAUUCAGCGUCUUUGCUCAUCCCACUUUCCGAGGUCGUCAAGGGUUGGCGAGAAAAUUGUCCGGAUGAGCUCAUAUCCUGUCGUCCACGGAUCCGUCUCCAGUAGGUCCUCUGUUCAAGUCAGGCACAAUAGGACAAGACAACAUUGUGCUUCACUUCCGAUGAGUGAAUAUGAGUCUUGAGGAGACGACCUUGAACCGCCCUACCUCGAUUUCAAUUUAGACCAAGGGGUGUCAUAAUAUUGUUGCUUCCCGUCUUUGGUACUUUUCAAAGAUGUUAACAUUUGGUCUAAAUAAUAGGCUGAACAUCUCCUUAGGGUGAAUAAUAAUCUCUUUGCAUGCUACGUUGUAUGAAAGAUAUGGCCUGUGAAGCUCCGGGUCCCGGAACAUUGACAAAGACUGACCUCAGGGCCGUGUCAGAAAGAUUUAUUCCCAAUUCACAAGGCAGCAUGAUCUUUUCCUUCAAGUGCAUUAAUCUGAUUUCAGACAUGUCAUUCGCCGGCUCGAAACGAUGACAAUCGUCUUUUGUUCCGAGGCGUCGCAAUUAAUGGCUUCUUCAACACAUCCGCAUAUUCCGGUCUAUGCACGUAUAUAUAGUAGAAGUACGUCAUAAAAUCCAACCGAUACCAGUGACGUACUCGCUCGCAGAGGGCUUAAUAACAUUAUACAAAUAGAUCUAAUGGAAUCAUUAACUUUAUGAGCAAAUUACAAAUAGAGCCACCAAUUUAGGCGCUAAAAGGAAAGAUUCCUAGAAAUUAGUUAUUUCUCUACAUACAACAAUACUUGCGUAAA